rnacentral:rRNA from 1 species
UACGGGGGGGGUAAGCGUUGUUCGGAAUUACUGGGCGUAAAGGGCUCGUAGGCGGCCAACUAAGUCAGACGUGAAAUCCCUCAGCUUAACUGGGGAACUGCGUCUGAUACUGGAUGGCUUGGAUUCGGGAGAGGAAUGCGGAAUUCCAGGUGUAGCGGUGAAAUGCGUAGAGAUGUGGAGGAACACCAGUGGCGAAGGCGACUCUCUGGUCUGUAACUGACGCUGAGGCGCGAAAGCGUGGGGAGCAAACAGG